rnacentral:rRNA from 1 species
CCUACGGGAGGCUGCAGUAGGGAAUAUUGCACAAUGGGGGAAACCCUGAUGCAGCAACGCCGCGUGGAGGAUGAAGGAUUUAGGAUUGUAAACCUCUUUUAGCAGAGAAGAGAAUGACGGUAUCUUACAAAUAAACACCGGCUAACUCCGGUCCAGCAGCCGCGGUAAUACGGAGGGGGCAAGCGUUAUCCGGAAUUACUGGGGGUAAAGGGGGCGCAGGCGGGCAUGCAAGUCAGAUGUGAAAUCCUGUAGCUUAACCACAGGACUGCAUUUGAAACUGUUAGACUAGAGUAUGGGAGAGGUAGGUGGAAUUCUUGGUGUAGAGGUGAAAUGCGUAGAUAUUAAGAGGAAUACCCAUUGCGAAGGCGACCUACUGGAACGUAACUGACGUUGAUGCUCGAAAGCGUGGGGAGCAAACAGGAUUAGAUACCCUUGUAGUC